AUUGAACGCUGGCGGCAUGCCUUACACAUGCAAGUCGAACGGUAACAGGUCUUCGGAUGCUGACGAGUGGCGAACGGGUGAGUAAUACAUCGGAACGUGCCCGAUCGUGGGGGAUAACGAGGCGAAAGCUUUGCUAAUACCGCAUACGAUCUACGGAUGAAAGCGGGGGAUCUUCGGACCUCGCGCGGACGGAGCGGCCGAUGGCAGAUUAGGUAGUUGGUGGGGUAAAGGCCUACCAAGCCUGCGAUCUGUAGCUGGUCUGAGAGGAUGAUCAGCCACACUGGGACUGAGACACGGCCCAGACUCCUACGGGAGGCAGCAGUGGGGAAUUUUGGACAAUGGGGGCAACCCUGAUCCAGCCAUGCCGCGUGCAGGAUGAAGGCCUUCGGGUUGUAAAC
rnacentral:rRNA from 1 species